AAUAAAAUUAGGUUAGUAUUUUACUAUUUCUUUGCAUUUUUCGUAGUAAUAUUACUAUUAUUUUUAUGUAUUUCAGGAAUGUCCGGAAGCUACCAAAUAAUUUAUAAGUUACAAAAUAAAUGCUAAUAAAGAAUUGGAUCUAAUCAGAAAGUAAAAAAGGAGGUGAAGGCCGCACAAGUGCAGCCUAAAUGAGCCACACAAGUGCAGCCCAAAACAAACAACCAAGCCCAAUCACAAGAAGUGUAUGGCGCACGUCAUACCUCCACCCACACAUUUGCUAUUUAAUAGCAACACAAGAAUCACAUGCACUAUGUGACACCCACCACAUUUGCUAAUUAAUAGAGCACCUGUGCGCCAUACACUAUCUGGCACCCGCCACCUCAUCCACUUCCUUCAGAAUAGCACGCAGCAACGCAUCAACGGAUUAACAGGAAAAAUAUCUCCUCAGCCUAUAAAUAGAGAUCCAUCUCUCACUUUAAAGGAUACGCUUCAUUAUUAGAAUUUAAGAGCAGAUAGAAAAUAUUUUACUUUCCUGUUUUCCAUUCAGUUUAGCAGUUUAGCAUUCAAGCUUGUUCCGGUGACAUUGUUUUCAAUUCCAGUUUAUUAAGGAAUGUCCGGAAGCUACCAAAUAAUUUAUAAGUUACAAAAUAAAUGCUAAUAAAGAAUUGGAUCUAAUCAGAAAGUAAAAAAGGAGGUGAAGGCCGCACAAGUGCAGCCUAAAUGAGCCACACAAGUGCAGCCCAAAACAAACAACCAAGCCCAAUCACAAGAAGUGUAUGGCGCACGUCAUACCUCCACCCACACAUUUGCUAUUUAAUAGCAACACAAGAAUCACAUGCACUAUGUGACACCCACCACAUUUGCUAAUUAAUAGAGCACCUGUGCGCCAUACACUAUCUGGCACCCGCCACCUCAUCCACUUCCUUCAGAAUAGCACGCAGCAACGCAUCAACGGAUUAACAGGAAAAAUAUCUCCUCAGCCUAUAAAUAGAGAUCCAUCUCUCACUUUAAAGGAUACGCUUCAUUAUUAGAAUUUAAGAGCAGAUAGAAAAUAUUUUACUUUCCUGUUUUCCAUUCAGUUUAGCAGUUUAGCAUUCAAGCUUGUUCCGGUGACAUUGUUUUCAAUUCCAGUUUAUUAAGGUUCUAAUCUCUUGUUCUAUUUAUUUUAUUUAUUUGUUA